CUUUUUUCUGAGGCCUUUCAGCUUCCCAGGAGAAAAAUCCUGGGCAAAGGGAUUUUUCAGAGAAUGUGAAUGCUACACCUGCACAAGGGAUUCUGGGAGGAGAGCAGACAAAGAAUUCAGCUGCUUCAUUCUGGCAAGGUGACAUACUGAAUUUUUAUAGCACUGCUUCUUCAAGUUCCUCUCAAGUUACUCAGCUUCUUCUCACGGUCCCCAGCACCCUCAUGAGAAGAGUGUAUUUGGGGAGCCUCAGCACUCCACGAAGCACUGAAAUGGCGCUCUAAACUUCCAGAUGAUGGGGACAGUUACUGCCUGCAGAACUCCAGGAAAACUGUACAUGGAUGUGUACAUGGAGAAGGAAUGCUGAUUUGUGAGAUGCACAGCAGAGCCAGAAAGCAGACAACCUGUUUCCUUUAGGUUAAGCAGGCAAUAACCUGAAUGUUUGCCCCAAACUUGAACUGAGCCUAAUCAGGAAGGGACAGUGCAGUCUGAGUAUUUGCCAGCCUUUUUGCUGCUAAGCUGCUUUGCUAAGCUGCUUUGCAAUCCCCAGCCAAAAUUAAUAAUAAUUAAGGGCCUAAUCUAGAAGCUGAUGGAAAUCAAUGAACACUUUCUGUGACUAACAGAGAGGUCCUCUCAGAAGACUCUAUCUGCUUUUUCACUCACCAGGAACUCAGUAGAAGAAGGGUGUGUGUUUGCUUUGGAUGGAGACAUUACCUCUGGGAUGCUGGUAUCAUCCUAGCCCAAUCAAAAGCCAUCCAUGCCCAUCUUUCUGCUUUCAGGACCUAACCAAAGUGGCCUUGUGACUUUGUCCCUUUAAUGCAGGCUGGGGCAUUUUGCAGAGCAAUGACAAUGUGCUUUCAGCCCAGACUUGCUCUUUCCUUCUGGGCCUGCUAGAAGAUUUUAAGCAGCUCAGACUAGGAAAAAACCCAAAACCAAACGGUCUCAUUAUAUAUAUCUAUGCUAUAAGGUGAAAAUUGGGUCUGAGGACUGGUUGGAGUAGAUUAUUUGCUGGCUAUAUCUCCAGCUCAAAGGAGAUAAGGAAGGAGGAAGAGCCAGACCUGGGGUUAGACUACUCCUGUACCUGGUAAGGUUUAGUCACUUUGACCAAUUUUUCCCCUCACUGGGACUGUCUCACAGGUGGGUGAAAGGAGUACAGUCCCCUUGUCUCACCAGGACAGAGGUGAUCAGAGCCAAAAACUCUCAGCAAAGGGAGUGGCAGAGCUGGAGAUAAAACCCAGGAGUCAGACUUGCAGGAUCAGAGAAGCAUCCCUGCAGAUGGAGGCUCCCGUAAAUCUGCUCUAUGUCUGUUUCUUAGAAUGUUCAGCCGUCACUAGCACAUUGUGAGGGCUUCUCUCUGCAGAGAGGCCAGUGUCCUGUCCAUUGACAGAGCGAUUUAACUGAGGGAAAUUAGGGAAAUCUCUAUUUAAUGGGUAGCUUACCUGAUCUAUUAAAAUGAAUACUUGCAGUACAUACAAUGACUUGAAUUUUGACCUUGAUAUAAAUGACAACUUAUUACAAUGUGUCUCAUGCUGGAGAGUGUAUCUGAGCUUGGCGCACUCCUUCACAAUCACUUCUCCUGGGAUACAGGGGUUUUCAACAUAUUACUUUCAUGGCAGUCAAUACCCUAUUAAGGUGAUAGCAAACCUUAGUGACUGUAAUUUAGCAUCAAGUCUGAGGUGAGGUAACCAAUUUUCUUACCUAAUGAUAUAAUCAAUAGGCACAGAAAUGGAGCAAGGGCAAGUCUGUGUUUUUCUGCCUGCUGCUGGCAAGACAAGCAGCAAUGUAACUUAAUGAAUUACAUGAACUGCCUGUUGUGUGACUUGAGAGUCAUUAAAGAUUAUAAAAAAAAAUCACAC